AGGAAAAUUUCGACGUAAAAAUGGAUAAUUUUUGAAAAAAUUGGAUUUUGGAUUUCAGUAUAGAUUUAUUCUUAUUUUUAACUGGAGGGGAGGGGGCUCUUGGCACGACCUUUUUUCAGAUAGGAUAAAAAUCAAGACAAAAACUAGGGAUUCAUUUUCUCACACGAGGUUAGAACUUCAGGAAGUAUGUGUGGGAGGGAGGAGAAAUAAGUAUUCCAAUAUAGGGGUAAAAACGCAGUUAAUAUUGAGCGCUACCUGGAGGGAAAAAGUUCAAGGUGGACUUUUAAACGAUGCGAAGUUUAUCUUACUAGAUCUGGACUCUGGAGUCAUUUCAUCACGUGCACGCGAAUUCAUCAUUGACCGGUCAUUUUUACAUGUGAAUGAAAAAGUAACGCAUCUUAGUGUUAUCGAACAAUUUCAUCGAAAAAAAAUUAUUUUUUUAAAAUUUCAAAAUUUUAUAUUUUUAAUUUUUCGGCGGUUGUUUUUUUUAAUUGAAAAAAAAAAAUAGAACAAUUUUGGCGCUGAAAUUUUUACAUGCUGGUAUAAUAUCGAAAUAAAUAUAUAGUUACGGUGGUUAUUGAAGAAAACAAACUCGCUAUAAGUACAAUAUUAAAGAUCUAAAAACUAAGCAUUCAAUAUGAAUUCUAGUAUUCAAAUUUCUACGAUGGUGAUGUUCUUCCUGUACGCAUAUAAUUACAAUAUCGAUGGCAGUUAUGCCGCUAAUUCACAGUCCAUUCAAGAAGAAGAAGAAAUGCUCAAGAUCAGAGAAGAACUUGUCAAAGACAAAGAGGAAUUCUUAAAUCAACGAGAACUCCACCUGAUUCGAAGAGAUGAAGCUCCCAACGAACUCGUCAAAGCCAAAGAGGCUCUUUUAAACACACGAGAACGCGAACUGAUAAAAAGAGAAGAACUAGUCAAAGCCAAAGAGAUUGCUUUACUUAAACGAGAAAUUGAACUGUAUAAAAAUCAAGAAGCUUUCAAACAAAGUGGAAUGUCGAUAGAAGAUACAGAAAUAUACAAAGAACUGAAAAAUAAAAAGUGGAACAGGCAUAUUUUAACUUCGGAUGCUGAAUCACUUGAGACUACAAAUACGAGAACGGAUAUUAAGGGAGUAGCAAAGUACGAGUGCCCUUCGAAUAGAAUUUGCUUUUUCACGAAAUGGUGAAAAUAUAAGAAAUUGGAAUUAAGGCUAUUUAUGGUUGAAGGAGACCAAAAUUUGGCUCGUUGAGCUGUCCUACCAUCGAUACUUUGAUAGGUACGUACCUAUGUAGUUGUAUUUUUUUGUACGUAGGUAACGUAUAAUUACUUGACCAAUAAUAUUAGUAUAAUGUAUGAGUAUAAGUGUACUUGAGUAUUAGAAUAUAUUGUGAAAAAUUAUUUCAAAAAAGCUGACCUAAAAUAAAGAGAAGAGUUUAAAUAAGUAUAGGUACAUCUCUCAAUUUUCAAAUAUUCGAGUUGUUUUUUUUUUUUUUUUUUUUUUUUGAAUUAAAAAAACUAUUCAAUUUUUCCCUCAAGCUCUUUGCCCAUAGAAUUUGAGUGAAAUAACGAUUCGAAAAAUCUAAAUUCUUUUGUUUGUAUGUAGUAACUUUGCUAAGCUUACUCAAUAAUAACUCCAACGAAUUCAUCUCAUUGAACCAUCUCGUAGCCUCCAGAGUAUGAUCAACUGGUACAGACAUCAGAAUGAAAUUCAUGAAAUCUUGAGCCACCUGAAUAAAUCAGUUUAAAAAAAUAUACGCGAUAUUAAAAAUUUCUCUACGAGCAUCUACAGCUUUAGAGUUGGAAAAUUGACUUACCCCAUUUUGUAAAGUGUCACUGAGCCACCAACACAUGGACCAUUUCUGCACAUCUUUCAGGCUAAAAAUGUCUUUGAAAUCGUACCACAAUAUCCUCCAAAAUGGGUCUCUCUGGAAAAUUACCUAAAAAAAAACUCAAAUGUAAAUAAAUAUAAUUUUGAAAAGAAAAUAGGUACAUAUAAGGUACUCGUAGUUGGGUGUUUAAAAAAAUGCCAUCUAUGGGGGAAAAUUGAGAAUAUUGAAUAAAUAUUAUUUACCUCUUCCUCGUAAUAAGUUUCCUUUAGAAAUCGAUCAGCAGCAGCGAGAUCUUUUUUUAUAUCUUUUUCUUUGUCAUCUUUAGGAAUUAGCAAGAAUAUCAUGAAAACGAUUACUGGCACUGAAACAAUUGCAAUUAAAUUACAUACUUAUGAUGGGUGGAUAGAUAGGAUAUUAUUUAAUUUUUCAUCUCACCUCUUUUUUUUUUCAAAUGAGAUGUUUAUGAAAAGGGAGCUAAGGGGAGAUUAUCGAGUGUUUUUUUUGUUUUUUGUUUUUUUUUUUUUUUUUAAUGAAAACUAUUGGCAAAUAUUGGUGCUCGAGUCAGAAAAAAAUCAACAGGAAAAAUAAAAUGAUCUCGAAAAAGUCCAAAAAUUUGCGCUUUUCUGCGCUCAAAAAUUAAACUAAGUAUCCAUCCCCCCUUUCUCUCUCCACAGGAUCAUUCUAGAUGUCAAAUUGGUCCCAUUUUUGAGUUCAGCUUCCUUAGAUUGUGUUUCAUUUUUAUUUUUUUAAAAAAUUGCUCACAUUGGGAAAGAAGAUUUUGUGGUGUUUUGAAAGUAACUGAUUGUGGAUUUCAAAAUGCAUUCCAAAGAUUUCAAAAGACCAAAGUUGAACAUUUUUUGAAAACUUCAUUUUCAAAAGCUUGCCAAAUUUUGAAUUUAAAAAUUUGAAAACAUGAAAUUUUCCAGGUGAGAUUUUCCAAUCUAUUUGGGGGGAGGGGGGUACAAAGCCUCAAAAUUUUGGCCAAAACCUGAAAAAAUGUACAACGUGUGGCAUAUUGUUUUACAAGUUUUUGAAAAUGCUGAAUAAAAAUAUAAUCUGAAUCUAGAUGAAUCAAAAAUUCAAGGUAAUGGUUUAUUUUUUCGGUAACGAGUAUAAGUAAAUCUUGAAUUUUUAAAUAAUUCCAAAUUCACCUAAAUUUGCUGAAAAUAACGUGAAACUUCUUCCAUCUCCGGAAGUAGACCUCCCCCCCCCCUUCAAUUGUUUUCAAACACUUUCAAGUAACUAAUAUUGACGAAUAAGCUGCAAAAAUAAUCGAUUUUGAGAUUCGUUUGAAAAUUUGGGCUUGGACAUUUUCGAGUGGUUUCUUGUAAAAAAAAAACACGACUUUUGAAAGUGUUGGGAUGGAGUGACCUUUUGCUGGAGGCUCCAGCGCAAAUUCAGAGAGGUCGAAAUCAAUUCUAGGGGUCAAAUUCAGGAAGGGAAGGAAGUUUUGAGCGAUUUCUGGUGAAAAUAGGUGACUUUUGAAAAUGAACUUUUUCCAGAGGCUUCAGAUUGGAUUAAAAGUUGGUCGAAAUCGAUUCGGCGGGUCAAAUUCAGGAAGAACGUGAGUAUCCAAUGAUAAAUUUUUUUCCCCUAAAAUGUGAGGAAUCUAUCAGAAAAAAUUUUGAGCAAAAUCAGAGGACUCGUAAACCCAAAACUGGGCUGAUUUUACAUGGAAUGGGGCACUUAUUAGAGGGGAGGGGGGUCAGAUCAUUAGAGUGAUUCUUUUUAAAAAUCUAUUUAGUAAAAAUAUGAUGAAAAAAAAACAUGAAAUUGAUCUCAAAAAAGUGCAGAAGUUAGGUCUUCUCUAUUGUCAAUAUUCAAUUAUCCCCCUUCUCUCCUUCAACCUCCAACUUAUCUCCUUGAAAAACACUUAAAAUGUUAAUUCUUUUUUUUUCAAAUGUACAUAGAUUAAAAAUAAGUUUAAUAAAUCAAUGUUUUUAUAGUCAUUUUUUGUAGAUUAAAAAUAUGUUUAAUAAAUUAAUGUUUUUAUUCGUCA